rnacentral:tRNA from 1 species
AGCGGGGUGGAGCAAUGGCAGCUCGCGUGGCUCAUAACCACGAGGUUCCCGGUUCGAGUCCGGGCCCCGCAACAA